ACGCUCGACACCUACGGGAGACAGCAGUGGGGAAUAUUGCACAAUGGGGGAAACCCUGAUGCAGCAACGCCGCGUGAAGGAAGACGGUUUUCGGAUUGUAAACUUCUGUUCUUAGUGAAGAUAGUGACGGUAGCUAAGGAGCAAGCCACGGCUAACUACGUCNCGNNCGCGUAUNUNGNGGCGNGNGAG
rnacentral:rRNA from 1 species